AAAGGACUGCGUGUAGGGCAUCAAAUAUGACAGACAAAGAAACCAGUGGAGCCAUUGAUCUUACGUAAUCCACAACUUCAGUUUCAGAGCUGAAUAGGUAACCAAAUACGUUUCUUGCGGCAAAAACUAUUGCACCCACCAUUAUUGAUUCUACACCUGCUAUAACCAUCACUGUGUAAACCGCCAUUCGUGCUUGUUUCGGGUUUCCAGCUCCUAACUCAUUUGCAACUCUUGUGCUGCAGCCAACAACAACAGAGAGGGGUUUUAGGUUUCAGAUAGAUAUCUCCCAUUUUGCAAAUUUUUGGAAAUUCAGAAAUAAAUGACCUUGCUGCUGCACCGAGACUCUCUGGUAUUUGGUACAAGGAGGAGAUUGUUGAUAGACUGAAGGACAAAAAAAAAAAACUGAGUUGUAUGAUAAUAAUCCAUUCCAAAACAAAGUCUUAAGUAAAUAUAAAAAAUACAUACCAGACUGAGAGAACAGAGGUUUCUAGCUUCGGAUUUGGUAAAAGACCAGAAAGUAUGACUAAGAACUCAAAUGACCACCACUCGAGGCUAGUUCAACACCAAAGAUUCAACUGUCAAGAACUCUGUGACCAAACAAAAAGAGGCAACAACUCUGUGACUAAAUCAAAAGAGAUAUGAAGAGAAGUUUAUAUUACCAAAUCAUAGAGGCAGAUGGGAUUCCAAACCGGAAAAACUCUCCCAUUCCUUCAAACAAACUCAUGGAGAUGGGUGCACGGCUCUUGCUACAGCUGGAAGAAAACAUCAUAUACAAUGUAAGAACAAUCACAUUUAACCAGUAAGAAACGCCGAUCGAAAUAGCUGCACCGAGGCUCCCAAGCCCAAACUUAAAGACCAAGCUCCAGCAGAGAACAACAUGGACACAGAGAGCAGAGAUUGAGCUCAUAAUCAGAGGCAAAAUGAGACUCUGCGCUUGGAAAAACCGAACAAGUGGCUGCAAAGUAGCAUAACCAAAAAGGGCGGGUAUGAGCCAAGUUGCAAACUUUCCAGCUUCGUGAGCAACCAGAGGAUCUUGUCCAAUAGAUGAGAGUAUAUCACCCAUGUAACUCCAGAGCACAGACAAAGGAAUAGAAACAAGAAACAAAGAGACAAUCCCAGUGUAAGUAUGGACUCCAAGCUUUUCGAAUUGUUUAGCUCCAUGUGCUUGACCACAUAAAGUCUCCAACGCACUAGCCAAUCCAAACUGUAUAUGACCACCACCACAAAAUCAGAAUUCACAAUCUUAAAGCUAAUCCUAUAACUAAUCAAAAGAAACAGAUCAAGAAAGAGACAUACGACGAGGCUGAAACCUGUGACGCUGCAGAAAGAAAUGGCAAUGGCGGUGCUAGAGAGGAAAAGCUCACCGAGAUGACCAACCAUCAUAGUGGAUAUCACAAGAAGAACGUACAUAGACGAGUUCACCGCAACCAUAGGACCGGCGAUGUAACCAAGCUUCUUCAUCUCCCGCAAAAAACCAUCUUUCUUGUUUACUUCUUCUCCAUGGCUCACCACGAGCAAGCCCUUCUCCACCGAAUCCAUUCCUCUUCUUCCUUCUCUGCGCCUUCGCUGAGAUCUUGAGAUUUGAUUCAGAGUUUUAACACCUAUUUAUUCUUUAUACCAAUAUAUUUGUUUUUAUGUUUUUUUGUCCGUCUCUGGAAUUUAGCGGCGUGUCGUAUAUUGAUUCUACACCCCCAGAGAUACAGAUACAUGCGUCGUCCUCUCUCAUUCAGCCGCCAUAAAUUUUUGUUUCUCUGCAUCCCAAAUCCCAAUGGCAGGCACAUAAUUAAUCUAUAGCAAAUUAAAGAAAAAUUGUUUUUAAAUAAAAAUUACUAAAGUAUACAAUGUUUCACAGAAAUAUGAAAAUCUUAAUUUCUUUAAUUAGUCAAGCAGGCUGUAAAAGUUAAUUAGUUUUCAAUGUUGAAUUUUAUUUGGUUGUUUCUUUCUCUACAAGGCAUUAUAUCAAUUGGAAAAAGUUGCCAUUUAUAUCAUAUGUGACGUUACGAACGCACUCGGGCCUCCACACUCUAUUUUUAUUUUUGGAAUUUAGCGUCGUGUCGUAUCAAUAUUCUUUUACUCCCAGAAAAAAAAAAGAACUUUUAUUUUCCUCCAAAUAAAAAGAAGAUGGAAAUUUAUAUAAAGUUCCUUGUUAAGCAUAAUACAAUAUUUAUAAUCUGUUAUGGGAAUGGAGCGAACGUCCAUAUUACUCUGAUUAUAUUUGAUUCGAUUCAGUUCGUUGGUCAAAGACUUAAAGUGUGACUAUGCAUGUUGACUAGGGUCAAAGACCGCUAGCUGUUUCGGUUUGACCCUGAAUUUUGGAUUUAAAUAUAUAUCUCGAAUAAAAUUUUGAGUUUUUUUUUGUUUAAGAUGGAAACAUAUUAGAGAGUAUUUUAGGCUAAGAUUUCUUUAAAAAAAUAUCUUGUACAAGAAAUUUUAGCUUAAGAUACUUUGUAAGAUGCUUUCAUUAAAGAUGUUAUAUGUUCUGAUUGGCUUUGGAUCGGUUUGAAAAACAUUUAAACAUAUAUUUUGAAUUUUUAUUAACAUACAUAUGUUCAACUUGGUUCGACUAUUAGUUCUUUUUUACUUUUGUAACAACAAAAUUUCCGCACCUAACCAGAUGGUUGUGAACAAUAUCAGCUGCAUGCCAUUCUGAGUAAAGUAAGGUAAUGAAUCCACCAGUUCCAAAAUGUGUAGUAAGAGCAACCUCAACGGGAGAUGUUUACGAGGUUCUUUAGGCCAAAUUCGAUUAAAAAUAAAUGAAUAACAGCAGUUAUUAAAGAGAAUCGACUCCUCUUUAGGAGCUUUUAAUAAGUGGAAGAGGCGAUGACGUGGCGAUCAGAUAUUGGUUGGUGGUGAAAAUAUAAAAAGAAAAAAAAAAGAGCAAAACAAUUCAUCUUUCUUUCUCUUCUCUCUCCUCGUUGAAAUCGCUGCUUCAUAAACAAAUUUUUUCUUCUUAUUAAACAUUCCCAAUUUCUUCUUAUUAUUAAACAUUUCCAAUUUUUUCUUCUUUUCUUAUUAAACAUUUCUUAUUAAAUAUUCCUAAACAAGAAAAUGUCUUCUUCUUCUUCACUUAAUAUUCUCCAAGAUAUGAUGAAUAACGUAUUUAAUCAAACUUUUGACGAUUAUAUCGAAUUUUUUUUAUAUAUUUGUUUCUAUGUUAUGUAAUGUAAUGUUUUUUAAAAAUCAUGUUUAUUUAAGAAGUAAUAAAAUACAAUCAUUAAAAAAAAUUAAUAAUUAAAAAAAAAUUAAAAAACCUAAAGAUUCUUACCAUUGUAACACAAUAAAUUUAAAAACCCCAUCACAAACUCUUCAUCUCAAUUUUUUCAAAAAUUAUAUUAAAAAAAUUGCAAAGAACCCACAAUGAGUCUCUCCCAUUGUGGAUAGUCUAAUACUCAUAUUUCUUGUGAGCAAUAUAUCACAUGAUGAAUGACUAUCUUCUUUUAUACAAUUUACAAGGGAGAAGGCCAAAUCAUGUGUGUGGGCAGUACCGCACAUUCAUUUCCUCUUUAUUCGUUACUAUCAUCAUCGAAAACAACAACACUAGAAAUCGAAUACAUAACGACACAAUAUAUAAUGGAGACAUGAUGAUUGAGGUCUCUUAGCUUAGCUGAUCUCUUCAUGUUCUUCACUUUCUUCAUCUCUAAACCCCUCACCCAUCACUCGAUCUCUAGCCUUCCUCGUCUGCCCAUUCAUAUCAUCAAUAGACAUCACUUUCACUUUCUCCCAAACCCUAAAAAAGAAAUGAAAAGGACAUCAUGACUCUCGCAAUACUAACCUCUUGCUUCCAAUUGGUGAGGACAACGAUAAGACCGAGCAAAAACGCUUGAACAAAUGACCCAACUGUGACCCCAAUCCAGAAUCCCCUUCCUCUCAUUUUAAAUACAAAAGCUAAUAUAAUAGCAGUUGGUAUGCCGCAUAGAUAGUAAGCAGCUAGGUUUACAUAAGCCCCUAUAUCUUGCCUCCCUGAUCCUCUAGCCACACCUGCAGUUUCAAUCCUCAUAGUUAACCACAUUAUUUGAUCCUUAAGUGAGUCUCUUAAUGACUUUUAACAUUAUAUAUAGAUGGAGACUCUUACCAGAGAGAACUGCGCGAACAGCAUCAAAUAUGACCGACAGAGCAACAAGCGGAGCCAUUGAUCUUACAUAAUCCACAACUUCCGUUUCAGAGCUGAAUAGGUAACCAAAUACGUUUCUUGUGCCAAAAACUAUUGCACUCACCAUUAUUGAUUCUACACCUGUUAUAACCAUCACUGUGUAAACCGCCAUUCGAGCUUGUUUCGGGUUUCCAGCUCCU
rnacentral:lncRNA from 1 species